UGAACGGAAUCGGUCGGACGUCUCUUUAGCGAAUAUCCGCGGAGUAGCAUUCACUCGGCGUGUGUCCGCGUCUCGUCGAUAUCAACGCUCGUGUCCGACUGUUUACAUUUCUAUUGUUUACUCAACGGUUAUGCCGGUGUAUUGCCUCGAACUCAUCUCUCCGGACCGUAUCUUUCGGUAUUGUCCGAUAAGACGGGCGAUAACAAGCGAGUGCGAACGUAUUUUUCCGAUGCGUACGGUGUCUCGUACGGCUAUUUGAAAACCAACGCAGAGGCAGCUAAAUUAUUAAAAUAUC